UUUUUUUUUUUUUCAGGAAGUCAGUCCUUAUUCUUAACUAAAAAUCUUAAAGCUUUGUUGUCCUUAGUAAGGGUGGAGUGUGUUGGGCCUCAGCUUCUGUGUAACUACUUUUGCAUUCCUGGCAAUGAUCGUUAUGCCCCCUCUGCCUGAGUUAAAGACCACAAUGCCAUUUCCUUGCCUCCUAAGUUUUAUUCUCUAGCUGGUAAAUGAACAACUCGAUGAGAAGCUCCUUGAGGUCAGGGUUCCUUUGGAGUCUCCAGAGCACCUCCCCCUUGAAGGACAUACGGAGGCCCUCCGUUCAUGGAACUGAUUCUUCUUUGGAUUUUCUUUUAUUGUCCUAGGUAGAAAGCUCCACUUGUGCUCAUAAAGGGUCUUUCCUGGAACAUUUAUUUUGUUUUGUUUUUAAAAAGACAAUAAUUGGGCUUCUGUCACAAUCUUUGGAAAACGAUCUUUAAGUAGGCAGCCUGUUCCCUUGCAACAAAACAUUCAUAUUCUUUCCUCCAUAUGCUCACAGAAGAUAAAGCUAAAAUAGCUUGUGUUAUAUUACGAGUAUUAAAAUGACAAAUAUGUCUCCAAAUAUCAAAUGAUUGGAAUAGUACAGAUUUGAAUUCCACCUAGAUGGGAAGGCAUUAUUACUGACAACAGUGUUAUUCCAUUCAUCCAUUCAUCUAUCUAUCCAUCCAUUCAUCCAUCCAACAUUCAUGGAGCAUUUCCUUGGUCCCGGUCCAGAGAAACCAAGGUGAUACACACCUGUGUAGCAGGAAGAGCAUGGAAUAUUUGAGAUUAUUAGCAUUUUACUUCCAUUUCAUCAUUUUCAUUGUUUUUAGGAUCAAAUAUGGAAAAAAAAAACUACAUGUGCCUCCUCAGUGUGGUGUAGCUGAAGGACACCACUGGAUUCCUGUGUAGGGGGUAGUUUUCUGGUUUGUAGAUUGUUCUGUUUCAUUCUUUCCCCAUCCCCUGAAUAUUCUGUAUUUUGGCCUAUGACUGUCCCUCUUCAGUGACUAGACAGUUGGAGAGGGACAGGGAAGGAGGACUAAGUCUUCAGUUUAGAUUUUAUUAACAAAUUCUAAAAUGACUGUUCUGUAUAAUAUGUGACUUGGGGCCUCUGAGCUUCCUGAGCCUGGCAUUCUGUGGGUGGUGACAUGGCCUUUGCCAACAGACCCACUUGAAGUACCCACUGGGAAGUACUGAUUCUGCCAAUGACAGGUGUGCCUUUAUUGCACUUUGCUUUAUUGCACGUUCCAGAUAAUGGAUUUUUUUUAAAUUAAAUGUUUGUGGCAACCUUGGCAAGUCUGUGGGGGCCAUUUUUGCAGCAGCAUUUGCUUACUUCCUGUCUGUGUGUCACAUUUUGGUAAUUCUCACAAUAUUUCAAACUUUUUCAUUGUUAGGAUAUUUGUUAUGAUGAUCUGUGAUCAGUCGUCUUCGAUGUUACUCUUGUAAUUGUUUUGUGGUGCCAAGAACCACACCUGUAUAAGAUGGUGAACUUUAUCAACAGAUAUGUGUGUUCUGACUGGUCCACUGGCUAUUUCCUGUCUCCCUUCCUUUCCUUAGGCCUCUCUGUUCCCUGAGACACAAUAUCGACAUCUGAGCAGUUAAUCCUAUGUGGCCUCUAAGGAGUUCCUGCCAUGGCACAAUGGAAACAAAUCCAACUAGAAACCAUGAGGUUGUGGGUUCAAUUCCUGGCCUUGCUCAGUGGGUUAAGGAUCUGGCAUUGCCAUGAACUGUGGUGUAGGUCGAAGAUGCGUCUUGGAUCUGGCAUUGCUGUGGCUGUGGUGUAGACCAGCAGCUGUAGAUCCGAUUAGACUUCUAGCCUGGGAACUUUCAUAUGCCGUGGGUUCAG
rnacentral:lncRNA from 1 species